UACGUAGGGACCAAGCGUUGUUCGGAUUUACUGGGCGUAAAGGGCGCGUAGGCGGCAUGACAAGUCACUUGUGAAAUCUCUGGGCUUAACCCAGAACGGCCAAGUGAUACUGUCGCGCUAGAGUGCAGAAGGGGCAAUCGGAAUUCUCGGUGUAGCGGUGAAAUGCGUAGAGAUCGGGAAGAACAUCAGUGGCGAAGGCGGCCUGCUGGGCUGUUGCUGACGCUGAGGCGCGACAGCGUGGGGAGCAAACAGG
rnacentral:rRNA from 1 species